GAGGUUUCCUGGGAGACACAAGUAAACAUGAGGGCGCCGGGAGAUGGCUGUUAAAUAAGUUAAAACUGCUCAUCGAUGCAGACCAGAUGUGCUGUGUAAGGGAACUGGCUGAUCACAGAUAUCCUCUGUCACUGAGGUUGGCCUGGGACAGAUGAAUCCAUUCUUUGGCAUUCAUGCGAGUGGUUUACAGAGACUGCACCCUUAUUCACACUUCUAUGGCAAUGAUCACCAGGACAAGUUACUUCAUCAGCAGAGCAGGAGGAUGGCAGCAGUACCCAGGACAGUGGAGAACAGCUGCCAGACGAACAACAACAAAACACCACAUCAUCCACAGCGAGGCUGCCUGGAGAACCACAAAGUUACAGAGUAGACAGUGCUGUCACCUUUUCUUUCUUUACAGUACUGUUUGUCAUUUGCCAAAUAUCCAUACUCAUCUAUUGAGAGAACUGUUUGAAACAUCCCCAUCUCGAACACUUGGUUCAGUCUCUUCCCACCUGGCCACAACUGCUCCAUAGUGAUAGAGGUUUUCCACCAGACGAUUCAUCAAAACAUUUUUUGUAAAGCUCCUUAGCUUGGGAGGGUUUGCCUUUCUCUGAGGCCCCAUCCGCACUACUCCGUUUUAGUUUAUAAACGGAGAAUUAAAACGAAUACGAUCUCCGUCCACACCAGCGUUUUAGAGUUGAUCUCCGGUUCAUUAAAAUGACUGAUAAUGCACAUGUAGUGGCCGUUCAGGUACACUGGGCAAAUGCGUGCCGGUGUAAACACGAAGCAGAUGGUCUAUUCCAUAGUUACAGAAGAUUUGGAGAAAGAAUAAAGAAAUGUAGAUGAAGAAUCAGACCAAAUUUCUUCGCAUGGACCAAUAAUGAGCUGAAAACAGACUUGGAGUUGUUGCAAAGUAAACAGUGACAUGCUCAGUACAAGUGUUAUUUGCAUGGUAAA